ACUGUAAAAAAUUUCCGUAAUUUUACAGCAAAAACCUACGUAAAAUUUACGUAGACCGUUCUGUUUUAUGAAAAACGGCGGGAUUCUACGUAAAAAAGACGGACGUGAGCUCCGUUUAUGAAAAACGGCGGGAUUCUACGUAAAAAAGACGGACGUGAGCUCCGUUUUUGAAAUACGGAGAGCCGUCCGUAAUUUCAUGAGGAGGGCAACUGAACAUGUUACUAGUGAAAAAUGAACACGCAAAGAAUAUAACGAAAAGACACUGUCUACUCUCACUGCCAGUUACAUAUAUCACCAUAGAUAACGCUGUUUGAACAUUAUUCGCGUGCGAGCAUAGUAAACACACAAAAAGAAGCAGGUAGGGUUUGAGCGGUGGCGCUGCUUACCACCCCUUCAUCGCGCCUGCACGCUGGGUUGGAUUCCUCCAGCACAAACAACUGUACGAGUACUCGCUAAUGGCGGACGGCGGAGGUGGUGUUCCUGUCGCAUUUGUGAUUUCACACGAAAUAGGAAGGAAUCGGCGCUGGAUUGUUACACAAUAUUUCAUUUGCAGCUGUUGCACCAGUGAAGGAUGUCUGUGUGCCGCCUUGCAUUCAGUUUCUCAGUCAUGGGGGCCUGCUUGCAACACCAGUGGCAAAGCAGUCUUGCAUUGUGCUAUUUGUUCUGGAAGGACACAAGCAUUGAGGAGCCAUUUGACCUGCCACUACACUGAUACGGUAUUUGGCAAAGGCAGGAGGCAUCUGCAAGCAACCAGUCAUUCCGAUUCUCAACCAAUCCUUCUAGUCAGCCCAUUUCUAGUGUCUUAUCUUGCAAGUUUUUUUCAGUAAAGCACAAUAAACAUGCAGUAUCGUUCAGAUUCAGGUGGCUUGUUGCUUUUUGGGCACGAAUUUGUAUGUGUGCUUUGUACACGUCAUGUACAGAACUCAAAUGCAACAUGGCAACACUGACACGAAGAUGAAGCAGUGUAGAAGACAGUUACACAAGGAGGAAACGUGCACACACAGCAUUUUCAGUGUGGUGUAUGUCCACUUAAGUGCAUUGAUUUCUGCCCCAUUUCAAGCUAUAUCUGAUGUGAGUUAGCCAUGUUGUAAUGUACAACUUGGUAUAACUUAUAUCAAUGAAACAAACAAU